UACGAGGGGUGCAAGCGUUGCUCGGAAUUAUUGGGCGUAAAGGGUAGGUAGGUGGUCUUAUUUGUCUUGUGUGAAAGCCUUGGGCUUAACCCAAGAAGUGCGCAAGAAACGGUAAGACUAGAGUCCCAGAGAGGCUUGUGGAAUUCCCGGUGUAGCGGUGAAAUGCGUAGAGAUCGGGAGGAACACCAGAGGCGAAGGCGGCAAGCUGGAUGGGCACUGACACUCAACUACGAAAGCGUGGGGAGCAAACAGG
rnacentral:rRNA from 1 species